AUUUCUACUGCAGAGUGUUGACCUAGAUUAACUCUUUUCUUCACAAGCGUACCUUCAAAGUCAUCUUUAAAAUUAAGGGGUCAUGAAUGUAUUCACCAGGAUUGAGCCCUUGCUGCUGUUUUAGUAAGUAUUGUUAUCUCGACCCCACAAAUUACACCAAUUGACCUUUUCCCUCUCCUCCCCUCCCCUGCCCUGUGCCCAAGCCACUGCAUGAGGGGCCUGAGCGAGGGGCUCCGACCGGAGCAAGCCCUGACACUCCCCCAUGCCAGACCUGUGCAGAUCCUGACGCUCGCCCGCCAGCCCCGCCUCGUCCCAGGCCCCAGGACUUCUGGGUCAGAUGACCGACGUGGGAAUCUGGUCGGUGUGCCAUAUCGCCAGGCAUCUCCAGACAGCUGAGGCUCAGAGAGCACAGGCCUGGGGCCGUCCUAUCUGGUGGAUGGGUUUCUGAGCAGGUGGACAUGCUGGGCCUUUCCAGUACAAGAGCUUGAUUAAAGAAAACUCACAGGGCGGGAAUUUAUUAGAGAUACUAGCAGAGGCGUUCCUUUGAGAUACCCGUACCUUAUAUGUCAUACGGAGUCUUCACUCACACACACGCCCUCAUCUUUCCUUAGGGGUGCCAACAGUUCCUGUGUGUAACCAGUAUAUACCAGGGUAACUGGACCUGGACCCCAGGGAGGGGGUGGUAACUGAGGCCUUCUUUAAAACGUGUGGUAGCAUUGAAGGCUUGCGGGAGUUGUGGGUCUUUCCUAGGAAUGGUACAUUCCCCAAGGUCAUUAGUUGCAAAUCCAUCACAAGUUCUUUUUUUCUUUUCUUUUCUUUUUUUUUUUUUUUUUGAGACAGAGUUUUGCUCUUGUUGCCCAGGCUGGAGUGCAGUGGCGCAAUCUUGGCUCACUGCAACCUCCACCUCCCGGGUUCAAGCAAUUCUCCUGCCUCAGCCUCCUGAGUAGCUGGGAUUACAGGCAUGCGCCACCAUGCCCGGCUUAUUUUGUAUUUUUAGUAGACAUGGGGUUUCCCCAUGUUGGUCAGACUGGUCUCGAACUCCUGACCUCAGGUGAUCCACCUGCCUCGGCCUCCCAAAGUGCUGGGAUUACAGGUGGGAGCCACCGCGCCCAGCCCACAAGUUCUAAUCCAUAUGGAAUUGUUUUCUUUUUCCUCCCCGUGAAGACCUUCAGUGGGAUGAGCCAAGAGGCUGGGGACUGCCGUGAGACUUAGAAGGGACACCCCAGAGCCUGGUGCUGUCUCUAGCUCCUCACACAGACUCUCCUCCUCUCCUCCGGGACUCACUGCAGGGAAUGGUUUCUGGGGAGGCGUGAUGAAGAGGCCACUUCAGGAUACAUUGAGUUUGAAGUGCCCUUGAGACCUCCAGGGGGUGACAUAGAGGAUCUUCAGGGUCAGAGGAAAGGUGGCUUUAGGCAUAGUUAGCAUGAGGAUGGUGAAUCAAAAUGACAGGUGUGGGGAUGGACAUGGGUCUGUGGACAUGGAUGGGUGAGGAGUCAGGGCCGACAGGUGUGGACGUGGGUGGAUGAGGGGGCAGGGCUGACAGGUGUGGACGUGGAUGGGUGAGGGCAGGGCUGACAGGUGUGGACGUGGGUGGGUGAGGGCAGGGCUGACAGAUGUGGACGUGGGUGGGUGAGGGCAGGGCUGACAGGUGUGGACGUGGGUGGGUGAGGGCAGGGCUGACAGGUGUGGACGUGGGUGGGUGAGGGCAGGGCUGACAGGUGUGGACGUGGGUGGGUGAGGGGGCAGGGCUGACGGAUGUGGGUGGGCUAAGGGGACAGCGCUGACAGGUGUGGGCCUGGUGGGCAGAGGGGACAGUGCUGGUGGAGCCCCGUGUUAACAGCCAGGUGGAAAGGGGCAUGUGUGCCUGCAGCUGGGAAAGGCGGAAACCCAGGAGUGGAGAGAUUUGAGAAGAGGCACCGUAGGACUGCAUAUCCCCGGGGGGUCCAGGACAGGAAAGCUGAAAUGCUUUUUGAGUGGGGGCGUGGGUGGGUCGUGGGUCUGUGGUGGUGUGAGCCGCUGCUCCUCAGAGUAGUCCUGGCUUCCUUGUUGUGUAGCAGUAGGAACACCUUUGCAUUGUCCCAAACGGAAGUAGCCCAAUUUGCACACUCAAUCAUAUCGUGCCCUAGGACAUCUCGGAGAGCUGAUGGGGCUGAAGCCAGCAUGGUGGGGCAGGAGAGGUGGGGUGGGGGGCUGGAGGGGAAGAGGAGGGGGACAGAGCUGCGCCCACACAGGCAGGGGCUGUGGGGUAGGGGCUGAGUUACAAAUGGGCUGAGAAAAGGACCCUCAUAUAGGGUGCUGG
rnacentral:lncRNA from 1 species